CAUGACAUUUUUUACUUUAAGCCCCAGAAAAAAUAUAAAAAUGACUUUGAACUAAGUAAUUGAAAACAUAUUCAUCAUAGAAGAGGUGUAUUCAAGUAAUUGUUUGUGUGAAUUUCAUUUGUAAUGUAGUUUUUAAUCAUUUAUUAGACACGGACAAAAAAAUGAGCGUCACGUCACUGACCCAGACACUAAUUGCUCCCUGGUGCAAAUAGUGUCAGAUACCAUUUGCACCCAUAUUUAUAUUUUAACAUACAGUAUGGGCAUCACGACAGUGUGUUAAUUGUGUAAUUUAGAGUCCCACAGACACACUACAUUAACCCCUAACCUUAACCUUACCUUAGAAAAAAUAACCUUGGUUUUACUACAGUAACCAUGGUUUCACCAUGGUAUUUUGUAGUUAAAUUAUAGUAACCUCAAAUUACUGUAGGGACACCAUAGUUAAUUGCAUUAAAACUAUGGUUUCUGCCAAAAAAAAAAAAAACAAAACAAAAAAAACAUGGCUACUACAAUAUUACUACAGUAAUACAGUUGUGCAAUCUACACACAAGCGAUGCCGAGCUGCGGGAAUGACAGACCCCGCUUCCAGAUCAAACCCUUCUCUGCACUCCCCGACAUUCACUGUGACCAAAUCACUGUGAUGAAAUCAACAUUUAUAUUCAUUUUUUUUUUCUAUUAUUUUAAAUAGUAUUAAAGGAAAUAUUAAGAGUGGAAAUCAGAUGGGAAAAAGAGUGGGACAAAAGGUGGAAUCGAACCAUGGUCGCUAGGACAACAGCACACAUUCACACCAUCUUUACACCCCACGCUACUGCAGCGACACCUGUUGUCUAGUUUGUCAUAUAUUUCUGUGAUUUUACCAGACUAUUGGGGUGAAAAUAGCUGCACUGUGUGGCAGAUGCUACUUACCCAAUAGACUUGUGCAAAUAGACACUCGUUUAUUAAAUGCUACCAGGAGACACUGCAGAAUAAGUGUAAUAUCUGAUAUAAUGAGGGCUGAAAUGGCUGCGAUGCCCAUACACUGCCAGCCUCCGCAUACCUGGGAGCGCCCGCACUCAAAACUGUUUUGGCGGAUUGUGAGGACCCACUUUAACAACCAGCUGUGGGUUAAACAUUUCCAAAUGUCAAGGGCUAUGUUUAAAGAGUUGUGUGCCAAUGUCGGAUAUUUUGUUGAGCCAGAUACAUCAAGCUAUAGCACACUCAUAACACAUGCACGAAUGUCAAAACACAUCACUGAAUAAAUCAUUUCCAUCACCUUACUGUGCAUUUUAACUGAUGUGAAACUCUAGAAUAUCCACCUUUGCCUAGCGCAUUUAAUUUUAAGUGAAUUUUGAGAGUUUAUUCGCAUAUCAAGCAUUAACAUUCAGGAUUUCUUAUGUGCAAUUUCAAAACCCAGCUAGCGGCAAGUAAUAUUAAGUGUUAUUCUCACUCUAGAGAGCAUUGUAUUGGACAAGAAUUAUAAACGCCAUCGACCUAUUCUAUUUUAAAUGCGUAAUCUGCUAAAUUAUUAUUUUGUCAGCUUGUAGGAGUACACUGGCUUACAGACAACCUCAAAGAUAUUAACUAAAAGCCACACAGCACAAUGGUGUCAGCAGCGGCGUUUCAUAGCUGCAGUCGUGGAUGAUUUCAAGACGGUGGAAGAGUUUGGUUGACCAUUCCACCCAAAUCAAUGCAAAGUUUAAAUAUAGACAGAGUGAAAUGAGAGGAUGGCCAGAUUCUGUGUUUUCUCACUAUUAUUUGUGUUGACCAACAUCAGGUCCACCCUGUCGAGGAAUGCGGCCCGUGGCUGGAGGGCGACAUGUGUCUCACUCGAGCAUGAGAUGAAGACCAGACCAGUGACAAACAUAACAGGAAAAACACACUUUUUUGUGGUAUCUUGAUGUGAUUUUGCCGUUCUCAGUCAAUGGAUCUGUGACAGGGCUGGUGGAGAGCGUGGCAGAGGGAACGCAAUUGAAAAAUUGCCGUGGAGAUGAGAGUAUGCUGGGUAUCACCUCAACCGGCGUUUCCUGUCCGGAAAAAUCCAUUCAUCAUUUUCAUGUCUAUGUGUCACAGCUUACUUCGGCAAUGAGGGAGACUUUGGUAAUGAUGACAUGAAGGAUUGAUGAGGUGCGGGCCUGGGGGCAUAUCGAUGGUCAAACCAGAUGUGGACAGUGAAACUGGAGGGGGAAGGACAACACUGAAGUGUCUAUGGAGUGCAGCAUUACUGGUUUGACCAUCUUCAUACAGAGAAAACACAACACUCCUCCUCUUAAUGGAUCAGCACAUCCAUCCUUAACCAUGCUUCCGGGUUCUUUCGAGCUGCAGAUUUCAAUGAUGGAAACAGGCAGCGCUGCAGUUUUGAUAAUCUUUUAAGCUUUAUAGAAUGUAAUAAUGUCUUUUAAUGUUAAUAAAAGUUAUUAUAAAUGGUUUAUCUAUGGUUAACAGUGAAGAAAUUCUGUGGGAUCUUUUCUGAAAUAUCAGCAAAACAAGUUUAAACUUGGUUCCUGUAUGAUUAUGUCAGAUAUGAAACAGGUUGAUGAUUACUCAUCCUCA